GAUGAACGCUGGCGGCGUGCCUAAUACAUGCAAGUCGAGCGAACGGACGAGAAGCUUGCUUCUCUGAUGUUAGCGGCGGACGGGUGAGUAACACGUGGAUAACCUACCUAUAAGACUGGGAUAACUUCGGGAAACCGUAGCUAAUACCGGAUAAUAUUUUGAACCGCAUGGUUCAAAAGUGAAAGACGGUCUUGCUGUCACUUAUAGAUGGAUCCGCGCUGCAUUAGCUAGUUGGUAAGGUAACGGCUUACCAAGGCAACGAUGCAUAGCCGACCUGAGAGGGUGAUCGGCCACACUGGCACUGAGACACGGUCCCGACUCCUACGGGAGGCAGCAGUAGGGAAUCUUCCGCAAUGGGCGAAAGCCUGACGGAGCAACGCCGCGUGAGUGAUGAAGGUCUUCGGAUCGUAAAACUCUGUUAUUAGGGAAGAACAUAUGUGUAAGUAACUGUGCCCAUCUUGACGGUACCUAAUCAGAAAGCCACGGCUAACUACGUG
rnacentral:rRNA from 1 species